rnacentral:rRNA from 1 species
AGAGCGCAGGGUGGAUGCCUUGGCACUAAGAGCCGAAGAAAGACGUGAUAAGCUGCGAAAAGCUGCGGGGAGAUGCAAAUAAUCCUUGAUCCGCAGAUGUCUGAAUGGGGAAACCCGGUACGAAGAACUCGUAUCAUCCAUACGCCAAUCCAUAACGUAUGGAGGGGAACCCGGUGAACUGAAACAUCUAAGUAGCCGGAGGAAGAGAAAGAAACAUCGAUUUUGUUAGUAGCGGCGAGCGAAAGCGAAAGAGGCCAAACCGGAGUGCGUGCACUCCGGGGUUCGGACCACAUUUAAGAUUCAGUGAUUCUAGCAGAAAGGUUUGGGAAAGCCUGCCGGAGAGGGUGAAAGCCCCGUAAGCGAAAGGAGAGCUGACUGAGCGGAAUCCAGAGUACAUCGAGACACGAGAAACCUUGAUGGAAUGAGCGGGGACCACCCCGUAAGCCUAAAUACUACUUAGUGACCGAUAGCGCAUAGUACUGUGAAGGAAAGGUGAAAAGGACCCCGGGAGGGGAGUGAAAGAGAACCUGAAACCCUGUGUUUACAAGCUGUGGAAGUUCUUUAAAUGAACAACCGCGUACUUUUUGUAGAACGGUCCGGCGAGUUGCGGAUACUGGCAAGGUUAAGCACUUAAGGUGCGGAGCCGAAGGGAUACCAAGUCUUAACAGGGCGUUAAGUCAGUAUACGCAGACCCGAAACCGGGUGAUCUAUCCAUGUCCAGGUUGAAGUUGUCGUAAAAGACAAUGGAGGACCGAAGCCACAUCCGUUGAAAAGGGUGGGCAUGAGGUGUGGAUAGGGGAGAAAUUCCAAUCGAACCCGGAGAUAGCUGGUUCUCCUCGAAAUAGCUUUAGGGCUAGCCUCAUGCAAGUCUUACGGAGGUAGAGCACUGAAUUCCUAAGGGGGCGUCAAAGCUUACCAAGGGAUAUCAAACUCCGAAUGCCGCAUAAAUGAUGUACGGGAGUCAGACUGCACGAGAUAAGUUGGGUAGUCAAAAGGGAAAGAGCCCAGACCUACAGCUAAGGUCCCAAAGUGUGUGUUAAGUGGAAAAGGAUGUGGGAUUUCAAAGACAACUAGGAUGUUGGCUCAGAAGCAGCCACACAUUCAAAGAGUGCGUAAUAGCUCACUAGUCGAGAGGUCCUGCGCCGAAAAUGUCCGGGGCUGAAACACGACACCGAAGCUUAGGAAUCACAUAGUGAUUGGUAGAGGAGCAUUCUUAAAACCGACGAAGCUGUACCGGAAGGAGCAGUGGAGGGAUAAGAAGAGAGAAUGCCGGAAUGAGUAGCGAGAGGAAGGUGGGAAUCCUUCCGGCCGAAUAUCUAAGGUUUCCAGAGUAAAGCUGAUCUGCUCUGGGUAAGUCGGGGCCUAAGCACAGGUCGCAAGACGUAAGCGAUGGAUAACAGGUUUAGAUUCCUGUACCACGCAUUAUCAGAACUGUAGGGACGCAUGUGGAAAGCACGAGCCGGGAAUGGAAAGACCGGUACAAGCGGGGUAGGUGUACAAUAGGCAAAUCCGUUGUAUAAUCCGAAGACGUGAUGUGGAGCGAAAUAAAGUAGUGAAGCGUGUGAGCCAUGUGCCGAGAAAAGCUGCUAUUGUGUAAUGCGUGCCCGUACCGUAAACCGACACAGGUGGAUGAGGAGAGAAUCCUAAGGCCGACGGAAGAAGCAUUGUUAAGGAAUUCGGCAAAAUGACCCCGUAACUUCGGGAGAAGGGGUGCCUGCGAGAGCAGGCCGCAGAGAAUAGGCUCAAGCAACUGUUUAGCAAAAACACAGGUCUAUGCGAAACCGAAAGGUGAAGUAUAUGGGCUGACGCCUGCCCGGUGCUGGAAGGUUAAGAGGAGAGGUUAGCGCAAGCGAAGCUUUGAAUUUAAGCCCCAGUAAACGGCGGCCGUAACUAUAACGGUCCUAAGGUAGCGAAAUUCCUUGUCGGGUAAGUUCCGACCCGCACGAAAGGCGUAAUGAUUUGAGCGCUGUCUCGACAAUGCAUCCGGUGAAAUUGAAGUACCAGUGAAGAUGCUGGUUACCCGCGCCAGGACGGAAAGACCCCAUGGAGCUUUACUCCAGUUUGAUACUGGGAUUCGGUACUGCAUGUACAGGAUAGGUGGGAGACGAAGAAGGAUGGACGCCAGUCUGUCCGGAGUCGCUGUUGGGAUACCACCCCUGUAGUACUGGGUUUCUAACCAGUUGCCAUGAACUGGCAAUGGGACAAUGUCAGGCGGGGAGUUUGACUGGGGCGGUCGCCUCCGAAAGGGUAUCGGAGGCGCUCAAAGGUUCCCUCAGAAUGGUUGGAAACCAUU